rnacentral:misc_RNA from 1 species
AAGUCGUAACAAGGUUUCCGUAGGUGAACCUGCGGAAGGAUCAUUAAUGAACCUUUGAGGGUUGAGCUGGCGAUUAAUUUCGCAUGUGCUUGCCCUCUCAAUCUUUAUACACCUGUGCAUCUCUGAGGGGACAGUAGGCAUGACCUUUUCGGUAAUGUCGAGAUCCCCUUUAACACAUACACUUUAUUUAUUUAAGAAUGUUCAAACGCUUAACAGCAUUUAAAUACAACUUUUAACAACGGAUCUCUUGGCUCUC